UACGGGGGGAGCAAGCGUUGUUCGGAUUUACUGGGCGUAAAGGGCGCGUAGGCGGCCACUGCAAGUCAGUUGUGAAAUCUCCGGGCUUAACCCGGAAAGGUCAACUGAUACUGCAGGGCUAGAGUGCAGAAGGGGCAACUGGAAUUCUCGGUGUAGCGGUGAAAUGCGUAGAUAUCGAGAGGAACACCUGCGGCGAAGGCGGGUUGCUGGGCAGUGGCUGACGCUGAAGCGCGACAGCGUGGGGAGCAAACAGG
rnacentral:rRNA from 1 species